UGCCAGCCGCCGCGGUAAUACGGAGGGUGCAAGCGUUAAUCGGAAUCACUGGGCGUAAAGGGCGCGUAGGUGGCUAGAUAAGUCGGGUGUGAAAGCCCCGGGCUCAACCCGGGAAUUGCAUUCGACACUGUCUGGCUAGAGUGUGGUAGAGGGAAGUGGAAUUCCGGGUGUAGCGGUGAAACGCGUAGAUAUCCGGAGGAACAUCAGUGGCGAAGGCGGCUUCCUGGACCAACACUGACACUGAGGCGCGAAAGCGUGGGGAGCAAACAGGAUUAGAUA
rnacentral:rRNA from 1 species